UACGUAGGCAGCGAGCGUUGUUCGGAGUUACUGGGCGUAAAGCGUGCGCAGGCGGUUUGCUAAGACCGAUGUGAAAUCCCCGGGCUCAACCUGGGAACUGCAUUUGUGACUGUAGAGCUGGAGUACGGUAGAGGGGGAUGGAAUUCCGCGUGUAGCAGUGAAAUGCGUAGAUAUCGGAAGGAACACCUGUGGCGAAAGCGGCUCACUGGACCAUUACUGACGCUGAGGCACGAAAGCUAGGGGAGCAAACAGG
rnacentral:rRNA from 1 species